rnacentral:rRNA from 1 species
GUUGAACGCUGGCGGCAGGCUUAACACAUGCAAGUCGCACGAGCGGCUGACUGGUGAGUAAUGUCUGGGAACCUGCCUGAUUGAGGGGGAUAACUACUGGAACCGGUAGAUAAUACCGCAUACCCUCAGAUGUGCCCCUCUGGGAUUAGCUAGUCGGUGGGGUAAUUGCUCACCUAGGCGACGAUCCCUAGCUGGGCUGAGAGGAUGACCAGCCACACUGGAAAUGAGACACGGGCCAGACUCCGACGAGAGGCAGCAGUGGGGAAUAUUGCACAAUGGGCGCAAGCCUGGUGCAGCCAUGCCGCGUGUGUGAAGAAGGCCUUCGGGUUGUAAAGCACUUUCAGCGAGGAGGCGUUACUCGGAGAAGAAGCACCGGCUAACUCCGUGCCAGCAGCCGCGGUAAUAC